rnacentral:rRNA from 1 species
UACGGAGGAUGCAAGCGUUAUCCGGAUUCAUUGGGUUUAAAGGGUGCGUAGGCGGCUUUUUAAGUCAGCGGUGAAAUUUUGCAGCUUAACUGUAACAGUGCCGUUGAUACUGGGGAGCUAGGAUUUGGUUGCUGUGGGUGGAAUGUGUGGUGUAGCGGUGAAAUGCUUAGAGAUCACACAGAAUAUCGAUUGCGAAGGCAGCUCACAAAGCCAAGAUUGACGCUGAGGCACGAAAGUGUGGGGAUCAAACAGGAUUA